rnacentral:rRNA from 1 species
GACGAACGCUGGCGGCGUGCCUAAUACAUGCAAGUCGAGCGAGCUGAACCAGCAGAUUCACUUCGGUGAUGACGCUGGGAAAGCGAGCGGCGGAUGGGUGAGUAACACGUGGGUAACCUGCCCUAAAGUCUGGGAUACCACUUGGAAACAGGUGCUAAUACCGGAUAACAACAAUAGCUGCAUGGCUAUUGCUUAAAAGGCGGCGAAAGCUGUCGCUAAAGGAUGGACCCGCGGUGCAUUAGCUAGUUGGUAAGGUAACGGCUUACCAAGGCGACGAUGCAUAGCCGAGUUGAGAGACUGAUCGGCCACAUUGGGACUGAGACACGGCCCAAACUCCUACGGGAGGCAGCAGUAGGGAAUCUUCCACAAUGGGCGAAAGCCUGAUGGAGCAACGCCGCGUGAGUGAAGAAGGUUUUCGGAUCGUAAAGCUCUGUUGUUGGUGAAGAAGGAUAGAGGUAGUAACUGGCCCCUAUUUGACGGUAAUCAACCAGAAAGUCACGGCUAACUACGUGCCAGCCGCCGCGGUAAAAC